ensembl:lncRNA
CUUUUUUUUUUUUUUUUCUCUCUAUUUUUUUUUUUUUUCCUGGAGUACUGUUCAUAAAUUCCAGUUAUCACCCAGAGUACAUUCAUAUGGGUUUCAGGACAUAUCUUGCUUUCAGCUUACUGGUUUUAACUCUGCCCUUUUGCAUUCAAUUGGAAUUGACUAAAUGGAUUAAGAAGUAAAAAUCUUUACCUUAAAACCAGCUUAAGGCCAAGGAAUGAAGAUCCCCAAUUCUGCUGGUUACCCCUGACAUACUUGCUUGCCUUUAACAUUUCAACUAUUCAAGAUUAAAAUCCUAACAGAUAAGAAGCAAAAGUAGUUUGCUCACUAUUCGUAGAUUAGAAGCUUGAUUCUCAAACUGCAGACUAUAAGUUGUAACUUGCAGAAUGGUAAAGAAAAGCACAUUCCACAGAUGGCUUCUAAACCUCUAAGCAGUUACAAAUUCCCUGAACCAAUUCUGAUAACAAAAAUAAUUUCCUGUUAACAGUGAUGUCCACUGACCACAUUUCACCUUGGCUUCUUACUGCAGACUGUAAUAAAAAAACAUCUUUUUAAUAAAUUCCAAUUAACCAAAGGCAAACAAAAGUAUAAUUUUGUCUAUUCUCAAGCUGUUGCUCUCUUCAUUCAUGUGUCACAGAUGCUGUUACACAACAAGCUGUGUCAAUAAUUUUUCUCCAGUAUUACAUUUGAGAAAGAAUGAAAGAUAUUAAUAGAAACUUGUUGGGGGGAAGAUAUUGGGCUGAGAGUAAUAUGAAAUGGCCAGAGCUAUUUUUUGUUCAACUUUUGUAGCAAGAAGUUGCUUUUCUAACAAAUGCACUAAGCUUCUGCACAAAGGUACACCAGAGGGAAGAAUGAUAAUACAGGUCAGAGAUAUUACAGCUUGUAAGUGCUGUAAUCUAGCAUUUAAGACAUUGAGGUUUUUUCAGUUCCUGUUUCAUGCUGAAAUGAGAAUUCAACAUUGUUUAGUUUUCAUAGGUAAACUUGCUUCUUCAGAGCUCCUCUGGUUUAGAAAUAUUUACUAGUUGCUAAUAUUCAGCUGAGUAUGCAGAUGUCCAUGAAGGCUCUGUAUGCACAUACACCUAAACAUGGGGCUGUGUUUGGAAGGAGGUUUUGGUGUAACCUGUAUUUCAUGAUUGCAACUGUGAAAUGCUACUUCAUCAUGGCUCAACAAAGAAAAGCUCUGGGCCCUGGUGUUUACACAGCAGUGCAGAGGAAUGCUUUGUUAAAAUGUCAAAGUAGGAAAAUACAAUAUAUUUCUCUGGGCUGUCCCAAUAGUCUGGGCAGUCUGCUCAAGUAGCAGACAGAGUCUCUGAAACACACUGUAGUAAUUAUUUAUUUCCACAAUACUAAGAGUAUAUGUCAUUUAUCAGUAUUUCCCCUUUCCUGAAAACUGGUUCCAGGAUAUUUAAAGCUACACUUUCAGAAUUUUAAAUUUUAUUGUACUUAAAUUAUAGGUGCAUUUAAAUUGUAUUGUAUUUAAAUUGUAGGUGAUCAUCACCUUUUGUUGGUGAUGGAGGAGGAGAUUUCUGAGCACUAUCAGGGAACCUGAAUAAGAGUUAUCUAUUAUAUCUAAGACACAAAAUUCCUUUUUCUAUUCUGUUGUUUAUGCAAAUUUCUUUAGCUUCUGAAGCACAAACUUUGGUGCAAGUUGGUUAACUGAGAACUUACCUUAAACAUGUGGCUAAUUAAGACUAUUUUGUGCAAGUUUCAAUUCUCCUAUCUUUAUGAUGGUUAGGAUGAAAAAAAAAGAGAUUAUCCAGAAAUUAAUUUCCUGUUGCGAUCUACUUGGCUAAGGCCAGAAAACCAAUGUAUGACAGAGUUCUUCAGUCGAUGAGAAAUCAGGUGACUAAAAUUAAUUUAAGGAAAAACUCAGAAAUUUGCAAGGCAGAAAACCAAAACAUGGCUGUGGUUAGACAGGAUAAAAAUAUGGUUUGAGGACCUUCCACCCUGAAUCAAAAAUGCUAUGGCCAUAUGAUACAAAGCCGCAUUCUGGUGUGAAAGUGUUCUGCUCAUUCAGAUUUAUUCAGGAAUUGUUAUGGGUUUAUUUCAGAGUGGCUAGCAAUGCCAAACUUUCUAUUUUGUGCCAUUAGCAUAAACUCUGCAUUGAGUAUUCUAUUCAACUUUAUAGAAAUCACUCUAAAUUUCUGUCAAUUUUUAGGGACUAAUGCGUUUUUUAUGUUUCUUAAGCUCUUGGGAUAGAACUGUAUGGUAAGAGUAUAAUUAUCUAUGAAAUGUUACAAUUUCAGCCUCUAAGCUAUAUAACAUUCUGUUAAAUUCCUUAAAGCCAAGGAAUUCCUUAAAGGCUCAGUGGAAUGAUUUCUGACUUAAAGCUCUAUGAAAAGUAACAGAAUAUGUCAUAGCAGCUUUAGAGGAAUAAACUCCUCCAGGUUUUCUUCACAUGAGAGUUUUGUGCUCUUAGACUUCUUUAGCUGUAAUUGAUUUUUUUUUAACUUUUGGAAAAAUAAACAAGAAAAAUCAAGAAAAACUACACUUAAAUAUCUGUUAUAACACUAAAUUAUCUCCUCAUAACUGAUAUGAA